rnacentral:rRNA from 1 species
AGCCGAAGAAGGACGCGACAAGCUGCGAAAAGACUGCGCCAAGGAGCACAUAUCCAUUGAAGCGCAGGUCUCCGAAUGAGGAAACUCGGCUGUCUGGAGGACAGUCACCGUAACGUGAAUACAUAGCGUUGCGGAGGGAACCCGGCGAACUGAAACAUCUUAGUAGCCGGAGGAAAAGAAAGAAAACUCGAUUUCUCAAGUAGCGGCGAGCGAACGAGAAAAAGCCCGGAUAAGAAGAGAGCAGACAGAUCAGUCAAAGGACAUGAGAAGGUCCCCCGAAGAGCGUUACAGGCGCGUAGACGAAGAUCCGUUUGUGAUCCUUAUCCCUAGUGAGUACCGCGGAACACGUGAAACUCUGCGGGAACAUGGGAGGACCACCUCCCAAGGCUAAAUACUACCCAGUGACCGAUAGCGGACAGUACCGUGAGGGAAAGGUGAAAAGAACCCCGGGAGGGGAGUGAAAUAGAAAACUGAAACCCUGUGCUUACAAGCAGCCGGAGCGCAAGUGACGGUGUGCUUUUUGUAGAACGGGC